rnacentral:rRNA from 1 species
UAGUUCUAACCAUAAACUAUGCCUGCCAGCGAUCCGCCGGCGUUCCUCCGAUGACCCGGCGGGCAGCUUCCGGGAAACCAGAGCUUUUGGGUUCCGGGGGAAGUAUGGUUGCAAAGCUGAAACUUAAAGGAAUUGACGGAAGGGCACCACCAGGAGUGGAGCCUGCGGCUUAAUUUGACUCAACACGGGAAAACUCACCAGGCCCGGACACCGGAAGGAUUGACAGAUUGAGAGCUCUUUCUUGAUUCGGUGGGUGGUGGUGCAUGGCCGUUCUUAGUUGGUGGAGCGAUUUGUCUGGUUAAUUCCGAUAACGAACGAGACUCUAGCCUACUAACUAGACGUAUCCGGUAUCCACAAUCGUGCUACCGGCGAGCAAAUUUCUUCUUAGAGGGACAGGCGGCUUCUAGCCGCACGAGACUGAGCAAUAACAGGUCUGUGAUGCCCUUAGAUGUCCUGGGCCGCACGCGCGCUACACUGAAGGAAUCAGCGUGUCUUCCCUGUCCGAAAGGACCGGGUAACCCGCUGAACCUCCUUCGUGCUAGGGAUUGGGGCUUGCAAUUGUUCCCCAUGAACGAGGAAUUCCCAGUAAGCGCGAGUCAUAAGCUCGCGUUGAUUACGUCCCUGCCCUUUGUACACACCGCCCGUCGCUACUACCGAUUGAAUGAUUUAGUGAGGUCUUCGGACUGGUGCGCGGAGGUGGCUUCUGCUGCUUCCGAUGUUGUCGGAAAGAUGACCAAACUUGAUCAUUUAGAGGAAGUAAAAGUCGUAACAAGGUUUCCGUA